AAGAGCCCAGCGCGAAAGCUUGUCGCUCUAACGGGUGAUGAGCGGUGUUGCGUAUAGGAGGUGAUUCUUCUUGGUGGCUGUCGACUUAAAUUCUCCUUGACUGGGGUUCCAGAGAAGGUGAAAGGCCUGUUCAGUCGAUGGCCGCCUUGAAUUCCGCUCUCCUUGGAGUCGGGUUGUUUGGGAACGCAGCCCAAAUUGGGUGGUAAACUCCAUCUAAGGCUAAAUACGGCCACGAAACCGAUAGCAAACAAGUACCGUGAGGGAAAGUUGAAAAGUACUUUGAAGAGAGAGUUCAAGAGGACGUGAAACCGGUAGGAUGGAAACGGAUAGAGCCAACGAACAAGCCCGUAUUCAGCUAGUCGGUUGCGUGCGGCAUGCCCAUGACGUCCCGGCUUGGGACGGUGGGUGUGUGCGGCAUGCGAUCGGCUAGUGCAUUUGCGGGUGAUGUGCGCUGAGGCGUGUGGUUGGCGCCUGCGAACCGUCACGAGAGGCCAAGYCUUCGGGYUUGGAACCUAGUGGCGAGGGGUAGGCUGCUUGCUGCACGUAGAUGAAACGGUUAGGUGCAUUCGCGCUGCCGUGUUGUAGAGGUUGUCAGGCGUGUCGGUCGCAUGCGACUAGGCGCGUUUUGGUGAUCUCUGCGAUGCGGUAGUGCCCUAACCGGCCCUCGGUGUAAAAGUUGGUCAUCUCUCCGACCCGUCUUGAAACACGGACCAAGGAGUCUAGCGUAUGCGCGAGUCAUUGGGUGGAAAACCCAUAGGCGUAAUGAAAGUGAAGACUGCCUUGYGCAGUUGAUAUGCGAUCCGUCGGGCUGCGGCCCGUGCGGAGCAGCAUAGCCCCAUCCGAAGGGCUUGCCCUAGGGUGGAGGUAGAGCGUAUUCGCUGGUACCCGAAAGAUGGUGAACUAUGCCUGAGCAGGAUGAAGCCAGAGGAAACUCUGGUGGAGGUCCGAAGCGCUUCUGACGUGCAAAUCGAUCGUCU
rnacentral:rRNA from 1 species